UACGAAGGUGGCAAGCGUUACUCGGAAUUACUAGGCGUAAAGGGCAGGUAGGUGGUUUGGUAAGGCUGUUGUGAAAGCUCCCGGCUUAACUGGGAGAGGUCCUUGGAUACUGGCAGACUUGAGGAGGGUAGAGGAGAGUGGAAUUCCCGGUGUAGUGGUGAUAUGCGUAGAUAUCGGGAGGAACACCAGUGGCGAAGGCGGCUCUCUGGGCCCUACCUGACGCUGAGACGCGAAAGCGUGGGGAGCGAACCGG
rnacentral:rRNA from 1 species